GACGAACGCUGGCGGCGUGCUUAACACAUGCAAGUCGAACGGUGAAGGGGAGCUUGCUCCCCGGAUCAGUGGCGAACGGGUGAGUAACACGUGGGCAACCUGCCCCAGACUUCGGGAUAACGCUUCGAAAGAGGUGCUAAUACCGGAUACGAACUCCUUGGGCAUCCUGGGAGUUGGAAAGUUUUUCGGUCUGGGAUGGGCCCGCGGCCUAUCAGCUAGUUGGUGAGGUAACGGCUCACCAAGGCGACGACGGGUAGCCGGCCUGAGAGGGCGACCGGCCACACUGGGACUGAGACACGGCCCAGACUCCUACGGGAGGCAGCAGUGGGGAAUAUUGCGCAAUGGGCGCAAGCCUGAUGCAGCAACGCCGCGUGCGGGAUGACGGCCUUCGGGUUGUAAACCGCUUUUAGCAGGGAAGAAGCGAAAGUGACGGUACCUGCAGAAAAAGCACCGGCUAACUACGUGCCAGCCGCCGCAGUAACAC
rnacentral:rRNA from 1 species